UACGUAGGGCGCAAGCGUUGUCCGGAAUUACUGGGCGUAAAGCGUGCGUAGGCGGUUCGUUAAGUCCGUUGUGAAAGCCCUGGGCUCAACCUGGGAAUGGCAGUGGAUACUGGCGAGCUAGAGUGUGAUAGAGGAUGGUGGAAUUCCCGGUGUAGCGGUGAAAUGCGCAGAUAUCAGGAGGAACACCGAUGGCGAAGGCAGGUCUCUGGGCCGAUACUGACGCUGAGGAGCGAAAGCGUGGGGAGCGAACAGG
rnacentral:rRNA from 1 species